UACGUAGGGGGCAAGCGUUGUCCGGAAUUAUUGGGCGUAAAGCGCGCGCAGGCGGCUUUGUAAGUUUGGUGUUUAAGCUCGGAGCUCAACUCCGAUACGCAUCGAAAACUGCAAGGCUUGAGUGCAGAAGAGGAAAGUGGAAUUCCACGUGUAGCGGUGAAAUGCGUAGAGAUGUGGAGGAACACCAGUGGCGAAGGCGGCUCACUGGCCCGAUACUGACGCUGAGGCACGAAAGCGUGGGGAGCAAACAGG
rnacentral:rRNA from 1 species